GACGAACGCUGGCGGCGUGCUUAACACAUGCAAGUCGAACGGAAAGGCCCUGCUUUUGUGGGGUGCUCGAGUGGCGAACGGGUGAGUAACACGUGAGUAACCUGCCCUUGACUUUGGGAUAACUUCAGGAAACUGGGGCUAAUACCGGAUAGGAGCUCCUGCUGCAUGGUGGGGGUUGGAAAGUUUCGGCGGUUGGGGAUGGACGCGCGGCUUAUCAGCUUGUUGGUGGGGUAGUGGCUUACCAAGGCUUUGACGGGUAGCCGGCCUGUGAGGGUGACCGGCCACAUUGGGACUGAGAUACGGCCCAGACUCCUACGGGAGGCAGCAGUGGGGAAUAUUGCACAAUGGGCGGAAGCCUGAUGCAGCAACGCCGCGUGCGGGAUGACGGCCUUCGGGUUGUAAACCGCUUUCGCCUGUGACGAAGCGUGAGUGACGGUAAUGGGUAAAGAAGCACCGGCUAACUACGUG
rnacentral:rRNA from 1 species